CCUACGGGUGGCAGCAGUGAGGAAUAUUGGUCAAUGGACGGAAGUCUGAACCAGCCAAGUAGCGUGAAGGAUGACUGCCCUAUGGGUUGUAAACUUCUUUUAUACGGGAAUAACAUGUUCUACGUGUGGGACUUUGUAUGUACCAUAUGAAUAAGGAUCGGCUAACUCCGUGCCAGCAGCCGCGGUAAUACGGAGGGUCCGAGCGUUAUCCGGAUUUAUUGGGUUUAAAGGGAGCGUAGGCGGAUUGUUAAGUCAGUUGUGAAAUGUCGCGGCUCAACCGUAAAAUUGCAGCUGAAACUGGCAGUCUUGAGUACAGUAGAGGUGGGCGGAAUUCGUGGUGUAGCGGUGAAAUGCUUAGAUAUCACGAAGAACUCCGAUUGCGAAGGCAGCUUACUGGACUGCAACUGACACUGAGGCUCGAAAGCGUGGGUAUCAAACAGGAUUAGAUACCCCUGUAGUC
rnacentral:rRNA from 1 species